AGGACUUUUAAUUGGUUUUGUGGAGUUUUUAUCAGAAUCAUCAUGAGAUUGAUCCUCUAUCCAGGACACAACUUUUUCCAUAUGUUCAGACAAAUUAGCAAUUCGCUUGGCCAAGUCGACUACAAGACUCUUGUGCCAUUAUAAUAGAGUUAAAACUUGUGGUUCUUCUUGAGGGUCUUUGGUGAAUGUUGAGAAUAGAAAACGAUUCUCCUGCCUCCUUGUAAUCACUUCUAGUCUUAGUCAUAUAUAAGUAGUAUCAAAAUGCUGUGAUACCAAUCUGAUCCGUAUGGAAGUGAUAGAACUUGACAACUCUCAAAUAUAUAUUAACUAAAAAUGAAGAGAAAGUUUAUCUUUGAAGAAGAUAGAUAACUU
rnacentral:lncRNA from 1 species